GGUAUUUAACCAGAAAGCCACGGCUAAUUACGUGCCAGCAGCCGCGGUAAUACGUAGGUGGCAAGCGUUGUCCGGAUUUAUUGGGCGUAAAGCGAGCGCAGGCGGUUUUUUAAGUCUGAUGUGAAAGCCUUCGGCUCAACCGAAGAAGUGCAUCGGAAACUGGGAAACUUGAGUGCAGAAGAGGACAGUGGAACUCCAUGUGUAGCGGUGAAAUGCGUAGAUAUAUGGAAGAACACCAGUGGCGAAGGCGGCUGUCUGGUCUGUAACUGACGCUGAGGCUCGAAAGUAUGGGUAGCAAACAGGAUUAGAUACCCUGGUAGUCCAUACCGUAAACGAUGAAUGCUAAGUGUUGGAGGGUUUCCGCCCUUCAGUGCUGCAGCUAACGCAUUAAGCAUUCCGCCUGGGGAGUACGGCCGCAAGGCUGAAACUCAAAGGAAUUGACGGGGGCCCGCACAAGCGGUGGAGCAUGUGGUUUAAUUCGAAGCUACGCGAAGAACCUUACCAGGUCUUGACAUACUAUGCAAAUCUAAGAGAUUAGACGUUCCCUUCGGGGACAUGGAUACAGGUGGUGCAUGGUUGUCGUCAGCUCGUGUCGUGAGAUGUUGGGUUAAGUCCCGCAACGAGCGCAACCCUUAUUAUCAGUUGCCAGCAUUAAGUUGGGCACUCUGGUGAGACUGCCGGUGACAAACCGGAGGAAGGUGGGGAUGACGUCAAAUCAUCAUGCCCCUUAUGACCUGGGCUACACACGUGCUACAAUGGAUGGUACAACGAGUUGCGAACUCGCGAGAGUAAGCUAAUCUCUUAAAGCCAUUCUCAGUUCGGAUUGUAGGCUGCAACUCGCCUACAUGAAGUCGGAAUCGCUAGUAAUCGCGGAUCAGCAUGCCGCGGUGAAUACGUUCCCGGGCCUUGUACACACCGCCCGUCACACCAUGAGAGUUUGUAACACCCAAAGUCGGUGGGGUAACCUUUAGGAACCAGCCGCUAAGUGACAGAGAUGGGA
rnacentral:rRNA from 1 species